rnacentral:rRNA from 1 species
UUGACCUCGGAUCAGGUAGGGAUACCCGCUGAACUUAAGCAUAUCAAUAAGCGGAGGAAAAGAAACCAACAGGGAUUGCCUCAGUAACGGCGAGUGAAGCGGCAAGAGCUCAAAUUUGAAAGCUGGCCCCUUCGGGGUCCGCGUUGUAAUUUGCAGAGGAUGCUUCGGGUGCAGCCCCCGUCUAAGUGCCCUGGAACGGGCCGUCAUAGAGGGUGAGAAUCCCGUCUGGGACGGGGUGUCUGCGUCCGUGUGAAGCUCCUUCGACGAGUCGAGUUGUUUGGGAAUGCAGCUCUAAAUGGGUGGUAAAUUUCAUCUAAAGCUAAAUACUGGCCGGAGACCGAUAGCGCACAAGUAGAGUGAUCGAAAGAUGAAAAGCACUUUGAAAAGAGAGUUAAACAGCACGUGAAAUUGUUGAAAGGGAAGCGUUUGCGACCAGACUCGCCCGCGGGGUUCAGCCGGCACUCGUGCCGGUGUACUUCCCCGUGGGCGGGCCAGCGUCGGUUUGGGCGGCCGGUCAAAGGCCCUCGGAAUGUAUCACCUCUCGGGGUGUCUUAUAGCCGAGGGUGCAAUGCGGCCUGUCCGGACCGAGGAACGCGCUUCGGCUCGGACGCUGGCGUAAUGGUCGUAAAUGACCCGUCUUGA